rnacentral:lncRNA from 1 species
CUUCAUCUCUCUCAAAUCUAAGAUUACAAAUUGGGAGAACCCUAACCCCAAAUCAAUUUGAUCUUAAAAUAAAAGGCACGAUAAGGGUAUAUUGCUCAGUCCCUUGGCAUGGAGAAAACAAACAGAGGUAUUGCAGAAAAUUUUUCCCUAAUAUCACUGCUACUACAUCGGUGGGUCCAAUUAAUGUUGUCUUGAUAUUUAUUCUAGUUUACUUGGGUAAUUUUUGGUUAAAAUAGCAUGCAUUUGUUGUCAUAAGUAAAUUUUGGCCAAAUCAGUGUAUGUGUUGUUGCAAAUAUAGAUUUAUGUUCUCGUGGAAUAUGGGUAUAUUUCUUAUUCCUGCAGUUUACAUGUCUAUACAAAACUAUGAAACAUGGUGGAAUUAGGAUGUUAUCUUUGCUUGUAACAUUACUUAGAAAAGAACUUGAACCCAAAUUGCUUGAAAAAUGAUUUUGUUACUGUCCAUAUAUUGAUGGAACAAGAGGUGAUAUAUUUUGAGACAAUGGGUUUGCACCAAAUUUAUGUAAUAAAAAAUUGUGUGUAGUAUUGUGGUGUUUCAUUAAGAUUAUUGUUUUUCUGUCUGAUAGGAAAGAACAAGGGGAUUUGCCAUAGUUGCAGACAGCCUAUGCACCAAUUGUGGAUAUGCCCCAAAAAGCAACGAUGUCCAGAGUAUGCCAAUGUUUUCAUGAAAUUGAUGGAAAUAGUAAAGACCAAAAACAUAGGUUGGUAAUUUUUUUGUUACACUAGAGAUCGAGGGUUUUUUUAGUGGAGUGACGUCUCGCCAGACAAACAAAAACCAUUAAAGGAUGACGGUUAGCCUAGUUGUGUUAAAGAAGAACGCAAUAUGGUUCCAAUUGAAGAUCUGUCGCUUCGAUUUACAAGUGUUGCUCAAAUUACCCAAAAAAAGGACUUCAAUAUAUCAUUAAACUUAACCUUUGCACGGGUGAUGGAGUCACAGGAGAUAGUGGUGAACGAAGAGGAAGAGAGUUGUGAAAAACUUCCAAAUUGUAUUCGAGGAGAAGUAGAUUUUUCAUGUUUUCAGUUUGUGUGUUGUUGAAGUUAACUAUUGUUAACUUUUUUUUCUUUUCGAUGGUCGAUGUUGUGAUGUGCUGGAGCCUAUCAAUAGUAUAAAUAUGUUGUUAAUACUUAUGUUAAAUGUUAUUUGUUGAAAUCUUUAUUGCUAAAACCUUUACUGUUGGUAGUAUAAAAUAUGUUAAAUGUUAUGUUGUUG